rnacentral:lncRNA from 1 species
UUGGUUCCGUGCUAAAUUUCAAUAUAUUUUGGUAAAAAUAGCAACGAUGCAUAACAAAUAUUUUUGAAAUAUGUUUUUCUUAAUUGUUGGCAACUUAUAUAUAUAUUGUAUAAAGGGAAUGAAGUUUCAAAGCUAACCUAGCUAUUAGAAAAUAUUUCACAUGGAUGAGAUAAUACCAAUAACUUGUUCGUGAUAACAUCCGAAGCCUCGGUAGUGAUAUUAUUUAUCAAGAAAGAGAAUCUAUACAUUUUAGCGGACACGCAGAGCAAAGUUAGAGUAAACGUCGGACAACUGAAUGAAGGGACAAUGCUUACAAGAAGAAAGUAUAGAAUAACAUUAGUACUUAUAACUUUCGCUAUUGUUACUGGUAUAAUGAAAGUAUCCGGUCAGCUGUGUCACAAAGGAGUAACUUCUGAAGGAUAUGUUUGUAAAGACACAGGACCUUUCCUAAAUGGACAUGGUCGGUGUUCUAGAAGUUCUCAUACAGUAAAAAGGUGUGGGUUUGUCGGUUCAAGCUGUAGGUGCAGAUCGAGUCUAAUCCUAAAUAUGGUCGUAAAAUCAUCUGGACCAUCGAAUGGUUUGGUUGGACAUCAAGCAUACGCAACACUGUUGUCAUCAAAUAUCAGAGUGAAUAAAAUACUUGAGGAAACAUUCAUUGGAAAUUAUUCCAGAUAAAAGGCAAAUAAAUGAUAUUAGAAACA